UCCUAUCUUUUGGUCUGCAUGUGCUUGCUCCCGACAAUCUUUAUCCCAAACACCUGUGUGCACCUUUUGAAGAGGGGGGAGGGUUUUUUGUGUAGUAGAGAUUACUACUAGGAUUAUCCUCCUUCUUUUACACAUAUACACUGCUUGCAAAUGUUGAACGUGAAUUGUGCCUGUAAGGCAUUAAUAAAAUACAACUUUUAACAACGGAUCUCUUGGCUCUCGCAUCGAUGAAGAACGCAGCGAAAUGCGAUAAGUAAUGUGAAUUGCAGAAUUCAGUGAAUCAUCGAAUCUUUGAACGCACCUUGCGCUCCUUGGUAUUCCGAGGAGCACGCCUGUUCGAGUGUCGUGAAGUUUCUCAAGCUUGGAUGCUUUUUGUUUGACGAAAAUGCUCUUGGCUUGGUAUUGGGCUCUGCCGUGUCCCCAUUCUUUUGGGAACGGCUGGUCUUAAAGGUAUUAGCUUGACCCCUGACGUGGCAUUGGUUCUACUCAGCGUGAUAAAUAGUCUGACCGCUGAGGACAUCUUUCGAGAUGGCCAGUUCUAGUUGGGGUUGCUCUCUAAUCCGGUUAGCAGGGAUCUCCUCAGAUCCUGCUCCACUUUCAAUUUUGACCUCGAAUCAGGUGGGACU
rnacentral:rRNA from 1 species